AAAGCAGGCACCGGUCACUCCGGAACCGGUCUAGGCACCCCGGAAGCGGCACCCAAAGAACGCCGGCCCGAAAGAGGAAGAGGAGAAGAUGCAGAAAAUAGCAGUCUGAAAGAGAAUGUCCUUACUGAAGUCCCCUAGCCAGGAAGCAGCAGGGCCUGGAUUGAAACGCAAGCCUGUCUCACCCUAGAGCAAGCCCACAUUUUUUUCCCCUGGCGGCGGGCAGCCUGCCUAGUGGUGAGUCAGUGGUGCAGACAAGCACCCAGAAACCUGCCUUUUCUCCUUAGUGGCAUGAUUGUGUGGAUGUGCCAUGCCCUAACCAUUUCCGUAUUGAUAAACAUUUAAGCUGUUACUGAACUUUGGCUCUUACAAGCAUUUGCUGUGGUUACUAACCUUGUACAUCUGAUUGCAUGUGUGUGAUAGGAUUGUCAGUAAUAUCUUGUUUGAAGUGGAAUUGCGGGGUCAAAGGGUCCACGCUUGGGAAUGUUGAGAGCCAUGGCCACUUGAUGUAUGUUAUUCAUUUCUCCGUUGACUUCGGUGUUCAUUUUAUUCAUUCAUAUGUUGACUGAAUUCUGGAACUCUAGUCAGCUGCCAGGCAUGGCUGUAGGCUGGAGAUCCUACAGGGAAAUAGGCCAGAGCACCUGCCCUCUAGGAGCAGAUAUUCCAGUGAAGCAGAUGAUGUCAGGUAAAAGAUGAGUGGAAGGAUAAGUCAGGAUAAGGAAAUUUCGGGUGACGGAGGUCAGAGGUGGUCAGGGAAGGCUCUCUUGAGGAGAUGACAUUUGAGCAGAGUCCUGAACAAAGUUAAGGAACUGAACCGUAUGAAGAUGCUGAAAAGCCGUGGAAAGACCUGAGGAAGAAGCGGAGUGGAGCUGGUGUUCGAAGAUUGUCAAGGUGACCAGAGUGGCUGGAGCAGAGCGAGGGGAAGAGAGAAAGCAUUAUUUAGGAAUGAAGCUAUCGAGAGGGGCCAGGUUACAUAGGGUCUUGUAGGCCACGGGAAGUUACUUGCCGGGUGUAACAGGAAGCCGUUGGAGGGCUGUGAGCAAGGCCCGGCAUGUUGAGAUGUGUGUUUUAUAAACAUCUCUAUAGUGAACACCCUGAAUUAAUGACUGUGGUUGCUUGUGGGGAUGAAGGUUCUAGACAGAUACGGAACAGAGCUGUGAGGACGAGUGUUGAAGACUUCUGCUUUUUUGAGCAAUGUGACUGUUGUCUGUGCACAGAAAAGUUAAAGUAUUAAAGCAGCACCAGUUGCUGUGAGGAGAAUGGCCUGCAGCUGGGCAGGCGUGGACACAGGUGAUGAGGAAGCCCAUGUCCCUGCCUGGAUAGGAGAUGAUGGUGACUCAGAAAGAGGGUUCUGUGAGAGGAACCAUGAAUCAGGGAUGACUUAAAAGUUACCCUAAAGGUUUUGGGCUUGACCAACUGGAUGAAGGGUGAUGCUUUUUCACGAAGAUGUGGAGGAGUCCUCUUGGUGGGAAAUCGACAAGCUUUGAACCUGCUGACCCUGAGAUGCUCGCUGGACAUCGAGUAAGGGGCGGCAGUUAGGACAGAAGCCAGGGUUGUAGACUGAAAAUUUUUUACUGACUUUUCAUUGUGCAAUUUUAUUUUAUUUAUUUUCAAUUUUUUAAAAUGUUUUAUUAUUUGAGAGAGAGAGUGAGUGGGGGGAGUGGGCAGAGAGAGAGGGAGACACAGAAACUGGAGGAGGCUCCGAGCUGUCAGCACAGAGCCUGACUCUGUGGGGCUCAAACUCAUGAACCACGAGAUCUGACCUGAGCGGAAGUCAAACGCUUAACUGCCUGAGUCACCCAGGUGCCCCUCGGGCGUUUUUAAGGUGGGAGGAACUAUAGCAGGUUUGUUUGCCAUCAGCAGUGCUAGAGGGAAAAUGGACAUGGAGACUUAGGAACCUGUCCUCAAGCAGGUAAUGGGGGUGGUGCUGACAUUGUACAGGGGAGAGACGGUUUGGCCUUGAAUCAAAGAGGGGCCAGCUCUUCCUGGUAAAAGAAAGUCAUACCAUCUGACAUUCCCUCUGGAUUGUGAAAACCGCUCUUGUUCCUUCUGUGUUGGCAGUUACUGUGCACAGCAUAAAAGCUCAAGCAAGGUCUUUGGACUGCAGUCUGGUAUUGAUGUAAAUGGUAGGGCUUCCUUUACAAACCAUAAUGAAGAACUGGAUAGAUGGUCGUGAUGUUUGUUCUAAGUGGCUGGGGCCAGAGGGAGAGGACGGUGGUGGGCAGUUACAGCAAGGGAUGCUGGGGAAGGAUGGGGAGCCCCCUGGCAGGAGCAGCUGUGACACUGCGAUUUAUAAUAAUCUAUGUGGUCUUUGCCCCUUUUCUGGCUCAUAGCACCUAAAACCCUUGGAAUUUUGUGCGGUGAGAGCAGAGGUGUCUUUUGUUAUGUUAACGAGGUGGUUUUUGGAAAACACUUGGGUAACCUAAAGCUGGGGGCUUGUUGCCAGGGCCCCAACCUUGUAGAGGUUGAAACAGCCGGUCUGACCCUUGGCCUUCUGGAAAGGGAGAAGGGGUGGUUGGAGCUUGAAUCAAUUGCCAGUGGCCAAUGAUUUAAUCAGUACUGACUUUGUAAUGAAGCCUCCAUCAAAACCCAAAA